AUAUUAGCAUAUUUAUAGGUCUGUCUCAUUCUUUUUAAUGGUGACAUAGGAUUCCACUAAAUGGAUAGAUCAAAAUUAAUAUCCUUAUUAAUGGACAGUUAGGUUUCCAAUUCUUGCUAUUUCAAGUAAUGCUGCAGUAAUUAGCUUACACAUUAUCUUUAAGAACACUUGCUAGCAUUUCUGUAGGAUUGAUACCUACAGGUAGAGUUGCAAGGUCAUUUAGCAUAUACGUUUAAAAUGGUUUGGAUUUUGAUCAGUUGUACCUUUCACUCCACAGCUUCUACCCCCGAAGGCUGUACCUUUUUACAGUCAUGCAGCAGAAUAUGAGAGCAUAUUAUAGACACAUUUCCAUGAAAUUUAUCAGAUGAUUUUUUAUCAGUGCUGAAGUGAACGCCCCUGUAUUCUUUGGAAGGUACUUCUAGAGGAUCACCUUCUAGGUUUCAAUCACUGGAUCAGGGGACUUUAUGUGGAACACGUGGAUAAACGCACAUUGCCUUUGACUUCCCUCUAAGUUACAUCCUACAGCCCUUGUGGAGCCAACUUUUCACACACUCUCACCAAUGGGUCGAGUUUUGAGCUUGGGCACACUCUUCAAACCCAACUCUCCUUCCAUUUUUUAAAAAAAGCUUUAUUGAUAAAUAACUCAUAAACCAUAUAGUUUAUCUAUUUAAAAUAUACAACUGAAUGUUUUUUAGAGUUGUAUAACCCCACAUGUCCUAGCUUUUGAACAUUUCAUCACUCCAAAAAGAAGCCAUUAGCAGUGUUACGGGUUGAAUGUGUCCCCGAAAUUCACAUGUUGAAGUCCUAGCCCCCAGGACCUCAGAACAACCUUAUUUGGAAAUACAGUCAUUGUGGAUUUAAUCAGUUAAAAUGAAAUCAUACUGGGAUAAUCCAAUAUGACUGGUGUCCUUAUAAAAAGGGGAAAUUUGGCCACAGGCAUGCACACAGGGAGAACACUGUGUGAAGAUUGAGGUCAUGGAAUAAACCAAGUAACUACCAGAAGCUGGGAGAGAGGCCUGGAGCAGAUCCUUCCCUAAAACUUUCAGAGGAAGCAUGGCUCAGCCAACCCCUUGAUCUUAGACUUCUAGCCUCCAGAACUGUGAGAUAAUAAAUUUGUUUUUUAAGCCA